rnacentral:tRNA from 1 species
GCCUCGGUGGUUAAGUCGGUUAAGCGUCUGACUUUGGCUCAGGUCAUGAUCUCAUGGUUCGUGGGUUCAAGCCCCGCAUCAGGCU